CGGGUGAGUAACACGUGGGUAAUCUGCCUGUAAGACGGGGAUAACUCCGGGAAACCGGGGCUAAUACCGGAUAAUAAAAAGAAACGCAUGUUUCUUUUUUGAAAGUCGGUUUCGGCUGACACUUACAGAUGAGCCCGCGGCGCAUUAGCUAGUUGGUGAGGUAACGGCUCACCAAGGCGACGAUGCGUAGCCCACCUGAGAGGGUGAUCGGCCACACUGGGACUGAGACACGGCCCAGACUCCUACGGGAGGCAGCAGUAGGGAAUCUUCGGCAAUGGGCGAAAGCCUGACCGAGCAACGCCGCGUGAGCGAUGAAGGCCUUCGGGUCGUAAAGCUCUGUUGUUAGAGAAGAACAAGUACGAGAGUAACUGCUCGUACCUUGACGGUACCUAACCAGAAAGCCACGGCUAACUACGUGCCAGCAGCCGCGGUAAUACGUAGGUGGCAAGCGUUAUCCGGAAUUAUUGGGCGUAAAGCGCGCGCAGGCGGUCUCUUAAGUCUGAUGUGAAAGCCCACGGCUCAACCGUGGAGGGUCAUUGGAAACUGGGAGACUUGAGUGCAGGAGAGAGAAGUGGAA
rnacentral:rRNA from 1 species